UUAUUACCUAAUAUAUACAUGCAAGUAUCCGCCUCCCCGUGAAAACGCCCUCUACUCCCCAUUAGGGAAGAGGAGCUGGUAUCAGGCACACAAUAUGCCCAAGACACCUAGCUAUGCCACAUCCACAAGGAAACUCAGCAGUAAUUAACAUUGAGCAUUAGCGCAAGCUUGACUCAGUUAAGGUAAACUAGAGCCGGCUAAUCUGGUGCCAGCCGCCGCGGUUACACCACGUGGCUCAAAUUGACCCCACUCCGGCGUAAAGCGUGAUUAAAGUCACCCAAUAACUAGAACUAAAUUAAAAUUGAGCCGUGACACGCCUGCUUAUUAAGAAACUCAAAACGAAAGUUGCUCUAAUAUAAUCAACUUGAACUCACGUCAGCUGAGAAACAAACUGGGAUUAGAUACCCCACUAUGCCCAGCCGUAAACUUUUAUUUACAUCAACAUCGCCAGGGAACUACGAGCUAAGCUUAAAACCCAAAGGACUUGACGGUACCCCAUAUCCACCUAGAGGAGCCUGUCCUGUAAUCGAUAACCCACGCUUAACCUCACCAUUUUUAGUUAUCAGCCUGUAUACCUCCGUCGCCAGCUUACCACGUGAGCGUUAAUAGUGAGCCAAAUGAAAUUUCACCAACACGUCAGGUCAAGGUGCAGUAAAUGAAAUGGGAAGAGAUGGGCUACACUUUCUACUUUAGAAAACACGAAUAACUAUAUGAAACAAAGUUAGAAGGCGGAUUUAGCAGUAAAAAAGAAUCAAUAUGUCCUUUUUAAUCUAGCACUGGGGUGUGUACACACCGCCCGUCACCCUCUUCAAGACUUUAAUUCAAGUCCUUAACAAACAAAAAUCUACUAGAAGAGGCAAGUCGUAACAUGGUAAGUAUACCGGAAGGUGUGCUUGGAUA
rnacentral:ncRNA from 1 species